UACGUAGGGGGCAAGCGUUGUCCGGAUUCAUUGGGCGUAAAGAGCGUGUAGGCGGCCAGGUAGGUCGGUUGUGAAAACUGGAGGCUCAACCUUCAGACGUCGACCGAAACCAUCUGGCUAGAGUCCGGGAGAGGAGAGUGGAAUUCCUGGUGUAGCGGUGAAAUGCGCAGAUAUCAGGAGGAACACCGGUGGCGAAGGCGGGUCUCUGGGCAGUAACUGACGCUGAGAAGCGAAAGCGUGGGGAGCGAACAGG
rnacentral:rRNA from 1 species